rnacentral:rRNA from 1 species
GAUGAACGCUGGCGGCGUGCCUAAUACAUGCAAGUCGAGCGAACGGACGAGAAGCUUGCUUCUCUGAUGUUAGCGGCGGACGGGUGAGUAACACGUGGAUAACCUACCUAUAAGACUGGGAUAACUUCGGGAAACCGGAGCUAAUACCGGAUAAUAUUUUGAACCGCAUGGUUCAAAAGUGAAAGACGGUCUUGCUGUCACUUAUAGAUGGAUCCGCGCUACAUUAGCUAGUUGGUAAGGUAACGGCUUACCAAGGCAACGAUGCAUAGCCGACCUGAGAGGGUGAUCGGCCACACUGGAACUGAGACUCGGUCCAGACUCCUACGGGAGGCAGCAGUAGGGAAUCUUCCGCAAUGGGCGAAAGCCUGACGGAGCAACGCCGCGUGAGUGAUGAAGGUCUUCGGAUCGUAAAACUCUGUUAUUAGGGAAGAACAUAUGUGUAAGUAACUGUGCACAUCUUGACGGUACCUAAUCAGAAAGCCACGGCUAACUACGUG